rnacentral:rRNA from 1 species
GACGAACGCUGGCGGCGUGCUUAACACAUGCAAGUCGAACGGAAAGGCCCUGCUUUUGUGGGGUGCUCGAGUGGCGAACGGGUGAGUAACACGUGAGUAACCUGCCCUUGACUUUGGGAUAACUUCAGGAAACUGGGGCUACUACCGGAUAGGAGCUCCUGCUGCAUGGUGGGGGUUGGAAAGUUUCGGCGGUUGGGGAUGGACUCGCGGCUUAUCAGCUUGUUGGUGGGGUAGUGGCUUACCAAGGCUUUGACGGGUCGCCGGCCUGAGAGGGUGACCGGCCACAUUGGGACUGAGAUACGGCCCAGACUCCUACGGGAGGCAGCAGUGGGGAAUAUUGCACAAUGGGCGGAAGCCUGAUGCAGCAACGCCGCGUGCGGGAUGACGGCCUUCGGGUUGUAAACCGCUUUCGCCUGUGACGAAGCGUGAGUGACGGUAAUGGGUAAAGAAGCACCGGCUAACUACGUG